UAUACACAUACUAGUAUAUUUAAACUGUUUCACUGCGAAACCAGCGUAUUUCUCGCAGAGGACGAGAAAACCAGGAGAGAGAAAACUGAGAUAAAAUGAACAGAGUGUCAGCCAUUAUUUGCCUGGUGGUGGUGGCGAUCGCCACGCGGGAGAUGUUGUUUGUCCAAGCUGAUCUAUAUGACCAGUGGAUGGAGGACAGAGACUGUUGGGAAAAUGACGGCGCUGUAUGUCAGCAUGACGGCCUGUAUUGCAGUGGGCAUUACGAGACAGGACUAUGUGGAGGGGGUAGACAUCGAAGGUGCUGUAUUCCCGGCCGUGCGGACAGAUUGUGCCUACAGGAGCGGGGCAGAUGCCAGUUCCAAGGAGAAACAUAUUGCCCUUUUCCCUAUGCAACAGGUAUAUGUGGCGGACCAUCACGCAGAAUGUGCUGUGUACACCGCGCGCUUCCGCCCUAACUGCGCAUGUUCAACUCAUUAAGCAACCUAGCGUUGCGCAAUGUCGCGAGCUUCAUUUGAAUUCAAUUUUAGCGCUUUAAAGAAACCAAAGGGUGUACGAAAUAUUUCUAAAGGCUAAAGUUCUGUAUAAAGGUCUUCCUCCUCAUCACGGCUGUAGAGCUAUGUUUCGGCAAUAAAAAUCAUCUUUGUUUUA
rnacentral:lncRNA from 1 species